UCCCAGUGUUUGACAAAAUUAGUAAAGGCCUUGGAAUCGUUUUUAGCCAUGGAAAAGGAUGGAAAGAAAUGAGGCGCUUCUCUCUGACAACCCUGCGGAAUUUAGGCAUGGGCAAAAGGACCAUUGAGGACCGAGUUCAAGAAGAGGCUCAGUGCCUUGUGGAGGAACUGAGAAGAACCAAUGGUGAGGAAAGCUUUGUGUUUUAACUUUUCCAUCCUGUUCUAAGUUGAGGUAUAAAAAAAUCUAUUGAUCGUAUUCUAAAUGUAAAGUUUUCCUUUUGUUUAUGAAUCAGAUAUCAUGAACGGAGCUUUCACUUUAAAUUUCUGAUGAGUUACAACCCAAGUACAACUAUAACUUAUAUAUUGCUAAUCAUUUCAUCAGAGAAAAAUUGCUACUGAUAAUGGUGGUAGUGACUUCAUCUACACUCAUGGGGCCCAAACCAGAUGAUAUUUGUUUUCAUUUUGUUGAACCACUUUGGUCUCCCUAAUUUCACUGAUGUUCCACUGAAGGCACAUGGUCACAGUUUCGAGUACUAAUGAAUCAAUAUUUUAAUUUCUAAGCUGAAUGUUUAGAUAUUAAACAUUAGAUAUUAUUUAGAUAGAAGUUUAUCAUGAUUUCAAAAUUAUCAUGAAUUCUUAUAUUGUGAUUUAUACAUUUAAGAAAUUACAUGUGGUAACAUCAAUCUGCUAAGGAAACAAACCUAAUAAAAUGACUAGUUUAAAUGACUUGAACUAUUGACAUUAACACUUUAUCUCAUGGUUCUCAAAGUGUAUUAUGGAUGCAUCGUCUGUCCUGUCCAUCAAUUCACCACACAGUUACUGUUUUGCAUUAGGGGAUGGGCAGAUCUUAAUUUGCUGCCAUUGUGAAUGCUACUUACCUAGAGAGCACCUGUCAGGGAAGAUUCAGGUUAUUUCUUAAAUUCUGAAGGACUUUAUCUUUAAUUUCUUUCCCCAAAAUAAAGUGAAGAAAAGACUGAAAAUCAGAUUUUACUUGUGAAUGGCAUGCAUACCAAGAAAAAUCCCAAAAGUUCACCCAUUAUCUUCUUUGCUAAAAAGAAUACAUUUCUGAAACAUUAUAAUAUGGUAAUGUUUGAAAGCUUGGUAUACAACCAACACAUUCUGGAAUUUCCCUUUCAUUACAUAUGUAACAAUUUGCUAAGCAUAUUGUCAAUUAAAGUGAUCUUUAUUUGGGAACUACAGUUAUAAUUUUGUAGUCUCCUUACAUAUGAGGAUUAUUAAUGGUUUGAGUAUAGAAGUUUCUACAGAAAGCACAUAAAAAGAAAUGUUCUUCUAUUUACUUAUUUGUAAAAAUCAUAGACAUGGCCAAUGUGAAACAAAAAAUUUAGACAUUCUUGCAAUUGUAUCACAUCAUUUUGAUAGAUAAUAACUUAAAUUUUCUAAAACCUGUGGAUGUCAACUUUAUCCAACUUAUUAAUAAGGAAUUUUGAUUGACCACGAUGACCAGUUACUUCUUUUACAAUACAUUCUAUUGAUGUUUACUCAUGGUACACUGUAAUGGAUUUCUUAAAGACCUUUUCACACUAGUGUAUAAUGUACUUUGACUAUGCUCAUCCCCAUCUUUUCUGGCCCUUUCAUAUCCAUUAUUCUUUCUCCCUUGUCUUACUUAAAUUGUACUUUUGGGUUUACUGUCAUAUAGAGCGUUCACAUCAUAUAGAGCAACACUCAUUCUUUUAAAAUUUUAAUGCAAAUGGGGGAGUCUGCGUUUUACAAUCUCCCCUCCUGGCAUUUAAUUUUAAAAUAAGAGGUUUUUAUUCAUUUCAUUCAUUACUGCAAACAAAUAUGCAAGGCCCUGGCCAUUCUUGAUGUCUUCUCAUGUUACACAAAGGAAUUCUCCUCCUCAUGUUUGUCCUUGUAAUAGCUGAUCUCAUCUACAGUGUUGGCAUCUCCCCUUCCUUGGAUCAGCACUUGAGUCUUUCUCUUACUCAUUGUGGAUAGAGAACUGUCAGGUGUCCACUCUGUCACCAUUUCAAUCUCAGUGCUAUGUGGUCUAUCUGCUUUGUAGGCAGAGAUGUUUCUGCUCUGGGCACUAGCACUUUUAGGUUCAUACAACUUCCCCUUUCCUACCUGAAAAUAGCAGACAACUAAAGGAAUCAGUACAGUAGAUGUGCUCUGCCAUUAUUCAGCUAGUGAGGUGAGGUUAAUUCAGAUUUAAGGUAAAAGUGAUUGCUGAUUCCAUAUAGACAGAGUGUUUAACUGCUGGAAGAAAUUGCAGAUAAACUAUGUUAGGACCAAAAUAAAUAAUGAUGAUGAUGAGCACAGCUGAUUUUAUACGAAAGAGGCUUAAUAGGUGGAGAUGAAGAGACAGAGAGACAGAGAGAGUGAGACAUGAUACAGGGAAGAAAGGAGGGUGCCCUGACAGAGAAAGGGGAGAGGCAAGAGAGGGCAAGGGCCAAGAGCUAAGAGAGAGAGAAAAUGGCAUUUUGGUCAUUUUAAGGAGCAACAGGACCAUGCCUGCCAGGUAUGGCUAACUGGCUGGUGCCACAUGAUGACAUCAUAGGUUGUUAGACAACCCAGAAGCAGGCUGU